AAGGCAUGAAGGGAUCACGAAAAGC
rnacentral:misc_RNA from 1 species